rnacentral:lncRNA from 1 species
AGCAGUGGGGUCCAGGCAAGAAUAGUCUGGUGGAUGCUGGUUCCCAGGUGCUUGGUCCAUGGGGCCAAGACCAGGGCGGGAGUUUCUCUGUUUCAGCCACAGGGCCUCAAGGAAGAGCCGGCACCAGAUGCGCACCCUGUUCCAAGCCUCUGUUUGUGCUGCCGUGUAGGGAGAGGGGAGACGCUACGCACAACUGAUGAGGAAUUCUCAGAAUCAUUUGGGGCUCGUCUGGAAUGUGACUCAAGCAUACCCUUUCGAAAGCCUGGUGUUAUGGACUGCCUGUGCGUUCCCCCAAAAUGUAGACAGGCUGGGAUGUCUGAGCCCUCUGCAGGCUCAGGAGGAAGGGCAGAUUCUGGGGAAGAAGGCCCCAGCAGCAGGAGCCAUCCCAGCCGCAGAGCCAGACUCCCAUUGUCAGGCCUGGCCCCCGUCCGGCCGAUCAGCGCAUGGCUGGAGGACCGCACAUCUGGCUGUGACGGUGGCUGCCUUCCUUUUGUUUCUACUCCAGCAACCCGGCCCCAGGAACAGCUGCAUGGGAGCACACAAACCUGGUGUCAGUGGCUCCAAGGCCCAGGAGGAGCUCCAAAAGCCACACACUGAGAAGAUGUGUCAUGGCCAAGUCCCACAGGGAGGCUGUGGUGGACUCCGGGCUGACAACAGAGCCUGGCCCUGCGUUCUGCCAGGGGCUCUCGGCAUGCCCCAUGGGACCCCCACGGAUGACCAUAGGACCUGACGGCCCCUCCAGGUUUCCAGAAGGAAGAAAACAGGAUCUUGGGUGUUGGCGGUGAGUCCCAGGAAUCUCCUCUCAGUGAAGCCAUCUCAUUCUUCCAGGGGCUCAGGUCCAAAGCCCGGAGCUUUUUGGCUUUCCUCUCCCCUCACUCCCCAUCAGCAUAUACAGCCAGGACUGGGCCUCUGCUCCCUCCUGCCUUCCCCACUCACCCGUGGGCCAAGCGUC